rnacentral:tmRNA from 1 species
GGGGCUGCAUUGGUUUCGACAUGGGUUCGGACGCGUGGCAGGGCAUGUCGAGGUUCUGUCACCUCGUAAAACCGCAGAAAAAAACUAACUGCAAACGACGAACGUUUCGCACUCGCCGCUUAAUCCGGUGAGCCUUGCAACAGUUGGCCGAUAGGCUGGGCAAGGGGGUCGCAAGACUUCCAGGCUGCAAGGGAAUUCAUAUCGGCUGGCGCUGACCCGGGCACCUUGGUGCGGCGCGAGACUCAAGGGUGCUGGCUGGUCAGGUAGCGUGUCGCUGCGCGAUCUGACUGGCGAGACUCAAAACAGACGACUACACAUGUAGAACUG